CCUACGGGGGGCUGCAGUGGGGAAUAUUGGACAAUGGGGGCAACCCUGAUCCAGCCAUGCCGCGUGUGUGAAGAAGGCCCUCGGGUUGUAAAGCACUUUCAGUGAGGAAGAACGCCUGGUGGUUAAUACCCAUCAGGAAAGACAUCACUCACAGAAGAAGCACCGGCUAACUCCGUGCCAGCAGCCGCGGUAAUACGGAGGGUGCGAGCGUUAAUCGGAAUUACUGGGCGUAAAGCGCGCGUAGGUGGCUUGAUAAGCCGGUUGUGAAAGCCCCGGGCUCAACCUGGGAACGGCAUCCGGAACUGUCAAGCUAGAGUGCAGGAGAGGAAGGUAGAAUUCCCGGUGUAGCGGUGAAAUGCUUAGAGAUCGGGAGGAAUACCAGUGGCGAAGGCGGCCUUCUGGACUGACACUGACACUGAGGUGCGAAAGCGUGGGUAGCAAACAGGAUUAGAUACCCUAGUAGUC
rnacentral:rRNA from 1 species